UCUAUUUAACCUAGCUAGGACCUAAUUACCACAAUCAGAUUUUCCCAUAUUCUUUUAGACCCUAGGACCAAACGGCGCAUCUAGAAAGAAGAAAAAGGCUUCUUCCCCAUUUUCUUCAACACCCAAAAACAAACGCUGCUCCAUUCCUCAUCUCACAGACCCAGAACAGCGUUAUUCCCCCUUUCCUUCUUCAUUCCUUUCUCACUUUCACAAACAGAAACAUCUGGAUUUAAAAGUACCGAAUUUCAGAUCUAAAAAAAAGAACUCCGAAAAAUCAAAAAAAAAAAAAAAGAAAAGAGAAAAAAACGAUGAAAAGGAAGAUUUAAAGUUGGUUUCGGGUUUUCAUUCAAUUGUUGUACAUUUUUUGGGAUUUCUCUAAAUGGUUUGAGCUAUUGAAGUUGUCGAAUCUGUUGGGGUUGCUCGUUUUUGGAGCUGCUGAGCUCCAGCUUUGAAGUUCAUACCUUUAUUUGGUCCUCUAAUUGUUGUUUUCUGCCUUUAGAAGAAAAACUGUGAUAUUUGAGGCAGAAAGGACCAAAUCAAAAUGAUGAUGGCUCAGAACUCAACACUCUUGAACACGUUUAAGUUUCUAGGAUUAUACAUGUAUAUCAUACAACUUUGUAAUAAUGGUGAUUGACUUCAGUUUGUUUUUAAAUAACUGAAUGGCUCCUUAAAAAUUUUCUCAAA